rnacentral:rRNA from 1 species
AACGAACGCUGGCGGCGUGCCUAACACAUGCAAGUCGAACGUGAUUGAGAGCUUGCUCUCAUGAAAGUGGCGCACGGGUGAGUAACGCGUAGAUAAUCUACCUCUGAGUGAGGAAUAACUCGUCGAAAGGCGGGCUAAUACCUCAUAACACUGUUUUCUCUGCGGAGGGGACAGCCAAAGGUGGCCUCUGAUGCAAGCUAUCGCUUAGAGAUGAGUCCGCGGCCCAUUAGCUAGUUGGUAGGGUAAAGGCCUACCAAGGCAACGAUGGGUAGCUGGUCUGAGAGGAUGAUCAGCCACACUGGAACUGAGAUACGGUCCAGACUCCUACGGGAGGCAGCAGUGAGGAAUAUUGCGCAAUGGGGGAAACCCUGACGCAGCAACGCCGUGUGAGUGAUGAGGGCUCUCGGGUCGUAAAGCUCUGUUUGGUGGAAAGAAAGGCUCCUGACGAAUACUCAGGCAGCUUGACGGUACCAUCAGAGGAAGCACCGGCUAACUCCGUGCCAGCCGCCGCCGUAACAC